CGAAAGCUCGAGCAACACGAAGAAAAAUUCCAUCCUUGACGUGGAUAAAUACGAAUGCUCGACGAUGCAAUUAGCGGUUUCGUUCUCCGACACGGUUGGACCCUCUCGUACUGGCAGAGGCGUCGAUUACAGAUGGAAUCCGAAGGAUGAGAAACAGCGGCCCCGCGGUCUAAAUUAGAAUGUUGGAGGUUCGAAGAGAAUCAGAAUUGAACGUUAUUGAAAUAACACAAAGGCAUUGAACUGCCAAUGGCAAUAAGCAAUAGCGUAUAAUUAACUGCGGUCAGAGAGCAAUUCUGAAGCUCCAUCGACCUGACACUGCUCGUAUAUUCUUCUCAAAGCCAUUACCAAGGACUGGCUCUGGCCUGACAAUAAUAACAGUAACAAUAACACGAAGUCGUGGAAGCUGGAUAUGAAUAUGUAUCAGAUCGUAUCACGAGAAGACACCGGUUAAAGCUCUCCUCCGACGAGCUGCGAAUCUAUUUCGGCUUAUCUUUUAAACGAAACAUUGCAACGAGGUAGAGAACGCUUCAUCCAUAUCAAUGUAGGGUACCUCGCGAGAUGGUUGAAAAGGAAUAGCAACCCUUCGAACCGAUCACGUACUCGUUUCCACCCUCCACGAUUCGACCCUUCCGCCUCGAGGAUCCGCUCCUGAGUAUUCGUUUACUUUCGAUUUCAAUUAAACCCUCCGAGAAAGUGUCGGUGCACGAGAUAGAAUUUAUAAUAAAAUAGAAUAAAAACCAUUAGUUU